rnacentral:lncRNA from 14 species
CAGGAAGUUGGGAGCGUUCGUUGCUCUGCCUGUUACAAAAGGCCCUCGUUAAGUAAGCACUUAUGCAAGAUAGUGAUUGUUUUGGGAAGGCUUCAGCCGAUUGGAGGCUGCAGCUCAGGCAGGAAGUGUCCAAGUGCUGUGGUUUCACAUGGAUGUGUGGUUAUCAACCCGCUGAAAGUUAACUAAACUCUCUUUAGAUAAGACUGAGCAGCGGAGACUCCUCAACACUGGUGGUGGCUGAAUUACAGCUGUGAGACGCUGCCAAAGAGCCUGUGUGGAUCCUUGAUAAAAUGGAUGCCAUGCACAAGCUGAAGAUUCUGGUGAUGCUUCUGGCUCUGGCUGUUUUCGUGGCUGUAGUGAUACUGAACGCUGGGAAUGCCACUGGGACAUUCAAAGGUCUGUUCAGGUCAACCCCUGGAAACAUCUCGGCCAAGUACAACACUGACUUCACACCAGCUGGAUGGACUUUCCUCAUCUGGAAUGUCAUCUAUGCCUGGCAGCUUGCCUGGCUUCUCUACGCCUUGUCAGGGAUAUGUCGAAGGAAUGAAUUUGGAUGUGUCUACAUAAAUCCAGACUUGCUGCCAAUACCUUUUUAUGCAGUGUGGAUACUCAAUAAUGGCCUCAAUAUUACAUGGCUGUUCCUGUGGGACCGAGAAUGCCUCCUCCCAGCCCUGGUGAUCCUGGUAGCUCUCACUCUUACUACAUUUGUCUGCCUCUUCAUUUCACACCGAGCCCUGAACGCCCAUUCCUCGUGGCUUGUGAAGGGCCACAAAGCUGAGCUCUGGCUCAUCCGCAUCCUAGUCCAGAAUGGGCUGGCGCUGUAUGCAACAUGGACCAGCAUUGCCACCCUGCUGAACUUUGCCGUUGUGCUGAUCUACAAGUGGAACGUGGUCAAUGAGACAGCAACGACUGCUUGUCUCAGCAUCCUUGGUCUCAGCCUACUAAUAUGGUUUUAUCUCGAAAACUUUGUCCUUGACCAGUAUGUCCGCUAUGACCUCACAGUCUACCCAGUGGUCAUAACAGCUCUGACUGGCAGCGCAUGCAAGAACUUCUUGUUUUCAUUCCCAACAACGAAUGGUGUUUUUAUAGGUGAGUCUUUUGGGCUGUUUCCAACUCUUGUAAAAGAAGGAGAGAAAACAUUUCUACAUCUUUCCUGUUUAUUAAGGGCAGGAAAGCAGUAUUUAGAACUGCCUCUUGGAAAGUAG